rnacentral:rRNA from 1 species
UAAUACGGGGGGGGCAAGCGUUGUUCGGAAUUACUGGGCGUAAAGGGUGCGUAGGCGGCUUUCUAAGUUGGAUGUGAAAACUGUGGGCUCAACCCAUAGCCUGCAUCCAAAACUGGAGAGCUUGGGUUCUGGAGGGGAAAGCGGAAUUCCUGGUGUAGCGGUGAAAUGCGUAGAUAUCAGGAGGAACACCGGUGGCGAAGGCGGCUUUCUGGACAGAUACCGACGCUGAGGCACGAAAGCUAGGGGAGCAAACAGG